rnacentral:rRNA from 1 species
GACGAACGCUGGCGGCGUGCCUAAUACAUGCAAGUCGAGCGGACAGAAGGGAGCUUGCUCCCGGAUGUUAGCGGCGGACGGGUGAGUAUCACGUGGGUAACCUGCCUGUAAGACUGGGAUAACUACGGGAAACCGGAGCUAAUAACGGCUAGUUCCUGGAAUCGCAUGGUUCAAGGAUGAAAGACGGUUCCGGCUGUCACUUACAGAUGGACACGCGGCGCAUAAGCUAGUUGGUGAGGUAACGGCUCACCGAGGCGACGAUGCGUAGCCGACCUGAGAGGGUGAUCGGCCACACUGGGACUGAGACACGGCCCAGACUCCUACGGGAGGCAGCAGUAGGGAAUCUUCCGCAAUGGACGAAAGUCUGACGGAGCAACGCCGCGUGAGUGAUGAAGGUUUUCGGAUCGUAAAGCUCUGUUGUUAGGGAAGAACAAGUGCAAGAGUAACUGCUUGCACCUUGACGGUACCUAACCAGAAAGCCACGGCUAACUACGUGCCAGCCGCCGCAGUAAUAC